UGACACAUACUCCCUGCUAUACGACGAAUCCACCGUUAAAGGUGUCUAAGGUCGUUUCAUUUCCCACUGCGCGUUUGCCUAAAUUGUGUGGCACUGAUUUGUGAUUUGUGAUAAGCCCAAAAACCAAUCAGAGUGGCUCAGAAAAAUACACGUAUUUACCAUCCAGUUGAAUCCGCGGACAAAGAGAACUGCCUAAACUGUGGAAUGGAAUGUUAAACAUGUAAGCAAAUUGCGUGGCUUAUUAAAACAUGCUUAGUAAUAUGACAAAGUAGCCGAAAGCAGAACACAAAUGUAACAAAAA